UUUGUAGAAUGAACCGGCGAGUUACGAUUUGUUGCAAGGUUAAGCGGAAAAAGCGGAGCCGUAGCGAAAGCGAGUCUGAAUAGGGCGCAUAAGUAACAGGUCGUAGACCCGAAACCAGGUGAUCUACCCAUGUCCAGGAUGAAGGUAAGGUAAUACUUACUGGAGGUCCGAACCCACGCACGUUGAAAAGUGCGGGGAUGAGGUGUGGGUAGCGGAGAAAUUCCAAUCGAACUUGGAGAUAGCUGGUUCUCUCCGAAAUAGCUUUAGGGCUAGCCUCGAGGUAAAGAGUCAUGGAGGUAGAGCACUGUUUGGACUAGGGGCCCUUCUCGGGUUACCGAAUUCAGAUAAACUCCGAAUGCC
rnacentral:rRNA from 1 species